UACAGAGGGUGCAAGCGUUGUUCGGAAUUACUGGGCGUAAAGCGCGUGUAGGCUGCUCGAUCAGUCGGGUGUGAAAGCCCUGGGCUCAACCCAGGAAGUGCAUUCGAUACUGCCGAGCUUGAGUCCUGGAGAGGAAGGCGGAAUUCUCGGUGUAGAGGUGAAAUUCGUAGAUAUCGAGAGGAACACCGGUGGCGAAGGCGGCCUUCUGGACAGUGACUGACGCUGAGACGCGAAAGCGUGGGGAGCAAACAGG
rnacentral:rRNA from 1 species